GACGAACGCUGGCGGCGUGCCUAACACAUGCAAGUCGAGCGAAGUUAUUCCUUCGGGAAUAACUUAGCGGCGGACGGGUGAGUAACACGUGGGUAACCUGCCUUAUAGAGGGGGAUAGCCUUCCGAAAGGAAGAUUAAUACCGCAUAACAUUGAGCUUUCGCAUGGAAGCUUAAUCAAAGGAGUAAUCCGCUAUAAGAUGGACCCGCGGCGCAUUAGCUAGUUGGUGAGGUAACGGCUCACCAAGGCGACGAUGCGUAGCCGACCUGAGAGGGUGAGCGGCCACAUUGGGACUGAGACACGGCCCAGACUCCUACGGGAGGCAGCAGUGGGGAAGAUCGCACAAUGGGGGAAACCCUGAUGCAGCAACGCCGCGUGAGUGAUGAAGGCCUUCGGGUUGUAAAGCUCUGUCUUUGGGGACGAUAAUGACGGUACCCAAGGAGGAAGCCACGGCUAACUACGUGCCAGCCGCCGCAGUAACAC
rnacentral:rRNA from 1 species